CGCAUUGUUAUUUAAAUAAUUAGACGGCUUUGUUCUAACUGCCAAUGGCUAUGGCAUAUUAAAACAAAACAUUUAUCAACACUUUCAGAACAAUGUUUCCAAGAAAUUACCAAAAGUAUUUACUUAAUUAUUACAAAAAUACUUAUAAUGAAUAAACAGUCGAGUCACUACCUAUAGCUUAAAGGAAACAGGUUCCAUAAAACUGGAUUUUAAUGGAUUGCAACUAACUAUUAGAAAUUAAAUAUUUAGCUCUAGCUUUAUUAGCACCUGCCGGUUUCACUAUCGGUGACAACUAGUUUCUAAAAGCUACUGAACUUUAAAACAAAUAGAUUACCAUAUAAGCAGACAGUUCUAAUAAACAAGAAAGUCAAGGAAGUGUAAAUUUCUAGUUCAUAUGAAACGCAUUUUGACAAAACAUAUACGAAUUCAAGGAUAUCGGCUGGCAACAGGAAAACUCUCAACAACAUAAGAUAAACAAACCACAAUGAGCACAAUGACCAAUAAAAAUGACCUUGACCGUUGCCAACAAAACCUGUAAUUGUUAUUCGCACUUGGUCUAAUGUAUGGAACGCGACUGUAGCACCUGCAUUUUCGGCUGCGCUCAAAAGUAUGCAACCAUUUUUGGAACCUGACAAUCGAUUUUCGUUUU